GACGUAGGGCGCGAGCGUUGUCCGGAUUUAUUGGGCGUAAAGAGCGUGUAGGCGGUUUGGUAGGUCCGCUGUGAAAACUCGAGGCUCAACCUCGAGACGCCGGUGGAAACCAUCAGACUAGAGUCCGGAGGAGGAGAGUGGAAUUCCUGGUGUAGCGGUGAAAUGCGCAGAUAUCAGGAAGAACACCCGUGGCUAAGGCGGCUCUCUAGUACGGUACUGACGCUGAGACGCGAAAGCGUGGGGAGCGAACAGG
rnacentral:rRNA from 1 species